GACGAACGCUGGCGGCGUGCUUAACACAUGCAAGUCGAACGGUGAUGCGGAGCUUGCUUCGCGGAUCAGUGGCGAACGGGUGAGUAACACGUGAGUAACCUGCCCUUGACUCUGGGAUAACCUCUCGAAAGGGAAGCUAAUACCGGAUAUGAACUGUUCCCGCAUGGGGGUGGUUGGAAAGAUUUUUUGGUCAGGGAUGGACUCGCGGCCUAUCAGCUUGUUGGUGGGGUAAUGGCCUACCAAGGCGACGACGGGUAGCCGGCCUGAGAGGGGGACCGGCCACACUGGGACUGAGACACGGCCCAGACUCCUACGGGAGGCAGCAGUGGGGAAUAUUGCACAAUGGGCGCAAGCCUGAUGCAGCGACGCCGCGUGAGGGAUGAAGGCCUUCGGGUUGUAAACCUCUUUCAGCUCCGAAGAAGCGGAAGUGACGGUAGGAGCAGAAGAAGCACCGGCUAACUACGUGCCAGCCGCCGCCGUA
rnacentral:rRNA from 1 species